GGGUUUGGUGGUUUUGUUUUUGGUUUUUGUGUUUUUUUUAAUUUUUUUUUUAAUUUUUUUGCCAUCCCUCCCACACACCCUGGAAGUCCCAUAAUUAGCCCAACAGCCUUCUUCUGCUGAUGGAUUUCCUAAAUCACUCCCAGAAAGAACUUGGGUGGUAUGUGCGUCUCUUCUAAAUAAGGGUCUUGCUUUCCCCCGCUCCCCCAGAAUGUUCGUUUCCCACGAAAUCCCAGAAACAUAGACUCCUGAAAUAUUACAAGACAUUGGUUUCUAGGCGAUUGCAACUACACUGAGUUCGGAAGCUGAGGUUUCUGCAGAGGUGAACAUGAGCUAAAUGUAAGCACAAGUGCCACGGUUGUAAGCGUUUUUGUGCCUGGGAUAGAAAAGACUUCCAGUCCUCUGCAGCUGAAGAGGGUGGUGACCCACUGCGGCAUAAGGCUGUUUUUCAUUCUUUAAAUAUUUUUUUUAUCAACUAAGCUACUCUUGACCAAUUCGGUUAUGCAAGAAGUCAACAAAUACUCAGCAAGUUCCCAUUCUGUAUGUCCUUUGUGGGGGCAGCUACUCUGCCCUCUCUAGGACUGAGAGUUUAGCAGGGGGAUGGACCUUGACCUAUAAGCCCCAGUGCUUAAAGGAUCCUGCCCACCGAGAGAGGCCAUGAGAAUCAUGAGGUGCUGAACAUGCAGAUGACCUCAGCUGGGACCGGUGGUCAAAGGGGGCUUUUUUGGAGGCCUGGUUUCCCAGGAAUCCCAGCCAGCACUUGGAAGAUCGGGAUGUUCCUAAGUUCACAGCUUGGGCCGACUCCCCUUUCCCUAGCAGAGGCAGAACACUGUUCCCUCAGGGUGGAACCUACUUCCCCUUUCUCUUCAAAGUCUGUUUCUGUAUCUAAAAAUGGACUGGAGCCCCAUCUGUUUGCUGAUUUUUUUUUUUUUUUGAAAACCCUUGAAAUGUUUGUUAUUUUUAAUACCGCUCCAUGUGACUCUCCUCAUCUUCGAGAGGAUGCUUCUCCUAUUCAGGUGGCUUAGCGAGCACCCCGGGGAUCUGUAGACCUUCCCCCCGAAAAUGGAAGUAAAGCGUCCGCGAGCAGCCUUCUGAAGGAGGCAUACUCCGAGCCACUGGGCUGGCUUUUUUUCAUAGGUAGCCCAUUUCCCUGUUGCCUGAAUUCAGUUCAGGUGAAGACAGAGUGCUUCAUUCACACCGAAGGGACCGUGAGCCCCGCUAGCUUAGGCGGGUGUCUGUCUGUACGUAAGCAAUGCCAGUGGUGUGCUCUCUGGGUCAUGGUUUCCUUCGAACAAAUCCAGCCGAUUGUCAGCUGCCUGCGGUUUUCUUUGUGCCACACCACACUUCAGGUGCCUUUGGGCAAUGCUGAGUUGACGGUCGGAGGACAGAAAGGUCGCCCAGGACCGUACCCCGACGUUCCAACCAGUUUAGCCUUAUGGCCCCAGUUCAGCCAAUGUCUUCCACGCCGGCGUGUUAUUUCCUCGUGGCGUCUCUUCUGGGUCUAGCCCCUCAGCUAGUCUCCCUGCAUCGGUCCCUGGACCCUUCUCCCUGACUCUGUUUCCACUGCACCGAGGGAUUAGAACUCUCAGUCCCACUCCAUGCUUCCUGCUUAUCAUCACUGAGAAGCUUUCCAGUGCUUUUUCAGGAUAAAAUCCAGGAUUCGGAGUAGACUACCAGGCCAUGUGUCCUCUGAUCCUUCCUGUUCUCCGACGUCUCCAGGAGGCACGAGUGUGCCCUCCUCCCUCCUUUCUGCCCGAGACCUUUCCCGAGCUACGCCGCUGACCUUGCACGCCCUUCUGCCCCUGCUCGCCUGGUUGUCUGCUCCUAUGCCCUUCACUUCCCGUUAGAACAUUAUUUAUCUCUGAAGACUUUCCUUUGGACCCCAGAUCAUCUCUGGUCCCGUUCUGACUUACUUUCAUAUCACUCACAUAUUUUCUUCAUCACAUCGGUCCUAGGAGUCAUGUGAUGAGUAUUAAAACCGUGUCACUCCUGCGAGUCUGUCCCAUCAGCUCGAAAGCUCAAGGAGGCCCGUUGUUAUUUAUCCUGCCUCGGAUUUACCUGCGAUCCCUCACACUUAGCACAUAGAACUCUUCAGUAUUUUUCAGCUGUGGAUUUUAAAUACGUAUUUCUGCUUUUUCUCUCAUAGAUUUGCCUAUAACUUUUUUGGGGGGUAAUGUAACAGAAUGGCAUGGCUAUGAGCAGUUCCUGAAUUCCUGUCUGAGAGCUUGUCAUUUUCUCAUUUCGGGGAAACCUACAAAGUUGCAUUUGCUGACUGUGCCAGCAGUUCUCCACCCCCGUUGCCUUUGGGGGCUCACCUCCUGUUCAGGGGCCCUCUCCUAGGGUGGUUCCGCACACUCAGUCUCAGACCUCACGAAAUUUCCACUGGUCGUUCGGAACUUUGUUGGGCAGACGGCUGAGCUCAGAGAAGGUUGGUGACUGCCCCGUUGCUGCAAGUGGUGGGUAAGGAUAGAAAAUCAAGGCGUUCUGGUUUGGGGCUUGAGCUGCCCUUCCUGACGUGUUCUGUGCUGGCCUCUUGAACUUGGUAACGACAAUACGCCCAUCCCGGACAAACGGUGCUGAUGCGGGGCUCCCAGGUAACGAGGGAGCAGCAACUUGGGGGAAUCACUGGGGCGGACUGGUUGGCGUCUGUUACUCUGAGAAAUCUAGCCUUGCUACUGGAGACUGAGGGACUAAGUUGGACCUCUUGGAUGUCACCAUGCAUGAAACAGAAGGCUUGUUUGCUCCGGCCACAGAGAAUGCCCACGAGAGUUUGUGGGAAGAGGAACCUAAUAAGCAACUCACUAAACGGGUUACAUGCUUUCCUUCAGCCGCACGUAGACAUCUGUUACGAUGAGUGACAGAUUGUGGCAGGGUGGGCCGUGUGGCGUGCAGUCAGUACAAGGCUGGCUGUUUAGCACCCCUGAGAUUCGAGGACUGGUCCUCGGUAGCAGGAUCCCUGCUGGAUGGGCUCGCGGGGGUGGGGGGAGGGUCUUGGCAUUGGCAGGUGCGACUCAUUUAAUGGGAGGACUAAAAAUGCGGUGGAUGGAAGAAAGGGCAGAGAGAGGUUUAGCUAAUAAGAAAUUCCUGACCACCCACAACCUAAUGAGGACAUGCUUCCCUCUUGCCAGCUGCUGGCAAGCUGCCAAGGGAGGAGGGGCUGAGCACGUGGGCAGAGAGCUGCCACCCCCCAACCCUUAGACAGACUUCUCUGAGAUGCAGGCUGGGGUAGGAAGUCAUGGGCUUUGAACCCAGACAGACCCGAGUGGGGAAUCACUGCCCCGAUUCUCACCAGCCUCAGCAAGUUACGCUUCGGGACUCUGUGCCUCAUUCUGUGAAAGGGGGUGUGGUGCGGAUGCCUCUCAGGGGAAUUGCAUGACUCAGGGGCCCCACAUAUGUGAAAUUCCUAGUACUGGUCCUAGCACGGGUGGGGUGCGGGAUCAUAGAUGGUCAUCGUGGGCGUGUUUGCCGUGGGCUUCCCAGGUGCCUCUGCUGCUCCGCGGGUUCUGGUCCAUGAACUUCCGAUAGGGUAGCCGUAGAUAGGCUUGGCUUUCUCUCAGCAAAUCGAAGACCCCUGUGCGUUCCCAUGUCGGUGUUCUGGAAUCUGGGGUGUCUUACAUUCAACGACAUGUCCUGGUUUGGUGGGCACUUUUCUUUAGUGUCUUAGAGGUGCGUCUCACCGUGGAUGGCAUCUGGGAUUCCCUGAGACCCGUAACCAAAGGAUUCUCUGGGAAGAUUUUCAGAGACUGGUUCCCUGCUGGGCGAGGACCCAGAACCACCUUCCUCACGACCUGCAGGGAACACCCAUUUCUCUGGAGCGUAAAAGAGUUAAGAUUGCAGUUUCAGUGAGGGGCUGGUGACAUUGGGAGGAGGGGGUCAGCGGGGGCUUAUGGUUGAGGUCGGGGUUCAGCGGAUUCCUCGGGAAGAGGCAUGCUGGCAGUGAAUUUCAGGGAGAAGUCCUCCCUUGUUGUCUGCCUGUGUGGGAGUUUAAUUUUAGCACUUGGGGUUGUGAAUUAUUUGUUGAAAGGUACUCCCACCUCUGACGCUCUUGUUUGCACCUGGUGGAGAGAAUAAAGCUUUAGAGCACAAAAUAGAAUUUCCUUCCCCGCUUGUUUCUUUUCUUAGUGUUGUUAGAAAAUCCAGCUCAGUCUCUGGAGUCCUUGAACACUUUCCUCUACUACGUGGCAUGCUUGUCCCCACUACCCAGCACACCGAUCACCCCCGCCACACCACGCCCACGCCCACCACACUUUCCCGGGUGUGCGCCCGUGGGCACACGUGGGCACACAAAUUGGCCUAAUGAGACCUCAGCAAGCACUGGCAUUUGUCCUGACACAUCUCUGACCCUGAAUUUACCACCUGAACUUGCCUCUCGGUGUCCCGUUGGUGACCUUGGCCAGGGUGGGACUCCUGAAUAAGCCCGGAGUUUCUCCGGCUCCCUUUGCAGUGAGGUCCCUACCAUUUCAGUCUCCACCUGGGUGCUGGUGCUUGGGGAUGCUUUCAGGCCUGAAACCCGGGAAGGCUGAAAGCAAACCAGAGUGGGGAUUGGGCUCUGUUCCAGCAGAAGUGCCUCCAGCGUGUGCGUUUCCGGGCUGGCUGGGGGCGGCGGAUCUGGGGAGCGUGAGGCUUUAGGGGGUCAAUCAGAAACAACCAUCCCUGAAUAGAAGGCUUCUGACCGAGUGACACGGAGGAAUCCCUGGUAAUUGGGGCACAGACCUGAUGAAAGCCAUCCUGGGAGGAGGAGAACUAAUUGAGCCUGACCCCUCAGAGGACCUGAAGUUCCCUGUGUAGACGGACUCACUCUGUGACCUUGCCCGUGCGAGGGACCUGAGACGACGCUCAGGCACAUCGGCCAGGCCGGAGCUCAGUGCUCUGCUGAGCGUGCUGGGCAGGAAGUGGCGCAGACACCCCGGCCCAUCCCCGUGUCCCCCGUGACCGUGAUGGAAGGACGGUGUGCGGUCUAGCCCUCGGUGGUGCUUUUAACCUGCCUGUGUUAGGGCUGGGCUCCCCCUUUACGUCGGGAGAUGAGGUCGACCUGGGAGCCCUGGUUCUUCUCUGUGAAGCCAGCAGGUCCUGGCUCUGGCAAAGGUGUUACUGCAGACUCUGUCAGAUGACUGCCCAUCGUGCUAAGAAAAAGUCCCUCGACCUCGUGUCCUUUUUUCAGCCUCGGCAACAGAAUCAUUUCUGCCACUCAUCUUCCGGAACCGUGAGGCCGGGAGAAGAGCCCUCGGUGCUCGCAGCCGGUACCGGGAAGACUUGACUGAGGGUCCUUUCAUGAUCUUGAAAUGAUCAGUUUUGACUGUUCACCAGACCAGACUUGAAGCUGUUCAGAGUACCCGGGCCUUACUAAUCUUCGUAGACACCAGGGUCUAGCCCAUGUCUGGGAUGUAGCUGUUACUCAUUAAAAAAACAUGGAACUUUA